GCUGGGUGUGGUGGCACGCACCUGUAAUCCCAGCUACUUGGGAGGCUGAGGCAGGAGAAUCACUUGAACCCAGGAGGCAGAGGUUGCAGUGAGCCAAGAUCACGCCACUGCAUUCCAGCCUGGGUGACAGAAUGAGACUCUGUCUCUA
rnacentral:SRP_RNA from 1 species